rnacentral:rRNA from 1 species
CGAAUACCCGCCGGCGACCGGCGCACGGGUGAGUAACACGUAUCCAACCUGCCGAUAACUCGGGGAUAGCCUUUCGAAAGAAAGAUUAAUACCCGAUGGUAUAAUCAGACCGCAUGGUUUGAUUAUUAAAGAAUUUCGGUUAUCGAUGGGGAUGCGUUCCAUUAGGCAGUUGGUGAGGUAACGGCUCACCAAACCUUCGAUGGAUAGGGGUUCUGAGAGGAAGGUCCCCCACAUUGGAACUGAGACACGGUCCAA